AAAACGUCUCCUAAUUGUAUGUUAGAAUCCACCAAGUUUUAGAACCACAAAGCCUGGAUCUGCCCCGAUUCUUCUUCAUGAAUCUCGGAGUAUCUGCAUCUAUUGCUUUCAGGUGGGAAAUGCUCACAGAGCUAAAAUCAAAAACCAGUUAGAUUUUAGGCGUUCCCACCACAGCUCCGCGGUAGCAAACCUGAUUCGUAUCCAUGAGGUUGCGGGUUCAAUCCCUGGCCUUGCUAAGUGGGUUAAGGAUCCAGCGUUGCCAUGAGCUGUGGUGUAGGUCGCAGAUGCAGCUUGGAUCUUGUGUUGCUGUGACUGUGGUGUAGGCCGGCAGCUGCAGCUCUGAUUCAACCCCUAGCCUGGAAACUUCCAUAUGCCACAUGUGUAGCCCCCCCCCAAAAAAACAAAAACAAAACAAAUUAGAUUUUAAAAUCUUUCUAGGAAAUUUUUUUUUCCUAUCCAGAAUUCAUGUGAGUUUUGCGGCUGUUUUUGGCUUGUUUUUUGUUUCGGCCAUGCCAACGGUAUGCAGAAGUUCCUGGACUGGGGACUGAACUCCUGCCAGCCACGCCGGAUCAUUAACCCACCGCACCACAAGGGAACUCCUGAGGGUGUUUUUGGCCAUUCGAAAAUUGCGCUAGACUGCGUCACCCCCACUCUCCACCAAUUUCUGCCCUGAGUUUCUUUUUCCACUUGUUCGGAAGAACCAUUGAAAGCAAGUGUGCGCACUGAGAAGAGGACUGCCGUAGAAUAACCAAAGAGGAGACAGCCAGAUCUUCCUCUUAUUUAUUUAUUUAUUCAUGCAGAGGUUCCCAGGCCAGGGAUCAAACCUGUGCCCCAGCAGUGACAACACGGGAUCCUUAACCUGCUGAGCCACCAGGGAACUCUCACAAUUUUGGAACAAUCUCACCACCUUAAGAAGAAAACCCAUACUCCUUGGCAGUUGCCCCCACCCCCAUCCAUCCUUGAGCAACCACUGAGCUUUCUGUCUCUAUAGAUUUGCCUACCUGGGACAUUUUAUAGACCUUAUAUCAUGUCAUGUGCAGUCUCUGCGGCUGACUUCUUUCCUUUCACAGCAUGUUUGCAGGAGUCUGAUGUGGUACCGCAGAUCCAUACUUUGUCCCAUUUUUGGCCAAAUAACAUUCCACCAAAGGAGUGUUACGUUUUAUUUCUCCGUUCAUCAGUUGAUAGACACGUGGGUUGUUUCCACUUUUGGCUUUUGUGAACAAUGCUCACGUAAGCAUGUGGGAAAAAGCGUUGAUGGGCUUCACGUUGUUAUCACUCUUGGACAGAUACCCAGGAGAGGGAUUUCUGAGUCUAACGCUGUGGCUAACCCUGGGAGGAAUUACCUCGCUGUUUCCCAACAGAGCUGCCCCCUUCCUCCCGGGCAGCCACUCUCUCCUUUCCCUUCCUCGAAUACACGGGGCUGGUUCCUUCUGUCAUUGGCUCAGCAACUUGUCACCUCUUGGCUGGUUCCUUAUGACAUUGGCUCAGCUCCUUGUCACCUCUUUAGAGAGGUUAUGUCUCCACCUUACCCUUCUCUUUACCCUGGUUUGUUUGUUUGUUUGUUUCUUUCUUUCUUUCUUUUUUUUCUUUUUAGGGCCGCACCUGCGGCAUAUGGAGGUUCCCAGGCCAAGGGUCGAAUCAGAGCUGCAGCCUCUGGCCUACCCUACAACCACAGCAAGUGUGGGAUCUGAGCCACUCCUGCAACCUACACCACAGCUCUCGGCAAUGCCGGAUCCUUAACCCAUUGAGCGACGCCAGGGAUCGAACCCACAUCCUCAUGGAUCCUAGUCAGGUUCACUAACUGCUGAGCCACGAUAGGAACUCCGAGAUCUCUAUUUAUGUGAGAAUUCAUCUUUGUAUGUUCUAAACCCAAAGAUCAUUUUCCUUCCCUUAACAUGGCCGGGUGGGGGGGCAGGAAAUUCUGAAGAAUUUUUGCCCCUAAGGUGGGAAACCGUCAGAACUGAAAGGAAAUUGAACUAUAAUAAACCGUAGGAAGCAAGAGCGGUGGAAAUCUGGCUUGUAAAUUAGGCUCUACAGCAUAGGAAUCCAUUCUUCAUGCUAUCCCUUAAUUUACUUAGUGCUCAAUUAUUCCCACAGAGUAACUGAACCCAAUCUGUAUUCAAUAUAAGAAAACUUUCCAAAUUUCCCCUGCCACUUUUAUGGUUAAGAGUCAUUUUUCCGCUUAUGGUCUUCCUUGCAGAGAUGCGAUCUGUGAAAUGAUUGUGGGCCCUUUAUUCGUGCCCUCGUGGCGGGCACCCUGGGGUGUGGCCUGAUGACUCAUUCUGUGUAACGAACGCCCCUCUAUCCAGGAACCCAGCCGUGUCCAUAAAUGCAGGCGCUCCAACACCAGAUGUCAAAAAGUCAAUGUUUAUUUAGGAAAGGAAAUAUGUCAUUGAGUGAUUAACUCCUAGAAGCCAUAGUGAAACUUUUGAAUCAUCCGAAUUUAUUUUAAAGUGAUACUUCGUGUCUCUACUUCAUAGUUGGAAUUAUGUACUAGACCUUUGGGUUUUCAAAGAGAAAACAGCAGAGACACCUGUCCAUAUCAAGAAUUUCCUUUUCGGAGUUCCCAUUGUGUCUCGGGGGUUAAGGACCCUAUGUUGUCUCUGUGAGGAUGCAGGUUUGAUCCUUGGCCUUGCUCAGUGGGUUAAGGAUCCAGCAUUGCCACACGCUUUGGUGUAGGUCACAGAUGUGCUCAGAUCCGGUGUUGCUGUGACUGUGGCGUAGGCUGCAGCUGCAGCCCUGAUUCAGUCCCUAGCUCAGGAACUUACAUAUGCUGCAGGUGUAGCAAUUAAAAAAAAAAAAAAGAAUUUCUUUUUUAUGGUUAGUCUCUAAAAUUAGCCUGGGAAAUUCAGCUCUUCAUAAUUUCCUGCUUUGAGAGGAACUUUUGAACCUUAUCAAGAUUGUACCUGGGUGGACUCCACUCAGAUAUAUAUUCCCAGAGGCAGGGAACAGCCUGUCCACGCGGAAGGAUGCUGGGGACCAGACCCACGUGGCUUAGUGACACGAACAGUGUAAGCUGGUUAUAAGAAAAGUUUCUUUCAAGGAAUACGUGGCCCCCCCAAAUGUUUCCCAAUUAAGAAGGAAAAAGCAAAAAAUGGCCAAAUCCUUUCAUUGAACCCAAGUCACAGGCUAUCUCAGUGACUCGGCACACACUGGGCUGAGAGGCAAAAGCAAGCUCGCUGGGUUGGCUUGGUGGGUUACAGCUGGAUGCUAACAGGGCCCAAAGAUGCCCUGUCUGGUUCUUCUUAAGGAAGAUUCCUUGGUUCAGGGGGAGAGAGUCUAACCCAAGGCCACAAGCAUUACCCUUGGCCAUCCACCUAAACCUAGACACUCAAGAUUUUGCUACACAGAUACAUUCUUGGUUCCGUAGAAGGAGGUAAUAUCACAGCCUGUAGAAAUCUCUUCCUUUUUAGAUUUUCUUUUUUGGCUGCUCUGUGGCAUAUGGAGUUUCUGGGCCAGGGAUCAGAUCCGAACUGCAGUUUUGACCUAAGCUGCAGCUGCAGCAAUGCUGGAUCCUUAACCCACUGUGCCGGGCCCAGGCUCGAACCUGCAUCCCAGCACUUCCAAGAUGCCACCGAUCCUGUUGCGUCAUAGCAGAAACUCCAAGAACCUUCUAAAUGCUACUUCUUGGUUUGUCUAAGUUCCAAGUUUAUUUCUAGAGAGAAGUAUGUCUUCACGUGGAUGAAGGCAUUUUUAAUAACUACAUAAUGGGGAAAAAAUACAGAUUAUUAUGCUAGUGAUGAGCAUAUUGUUUAUAACAAACAAAACAAAACCAAAUGCAGCAAGCAAGAAAUAUUUCAUAACCUUCAAGAUUAUUUCCAUAAGAUAAAUUCUUAGACAGAGUUCUGAAAACACACGACAUAGAGGACAGAUUUGUGGUUGCCAAGGAGGAGGGGGAGAGGGGGAGGGGAAUACUGGGAGUUUGGGAUUAGCAGGUACAGAUUAGUGUAUAUAUGAUGGAUAAAAAACAAGGUCCUACUGUAUACAGCACAGGGGCUCUAUUUACUCUCCUGUGAUAAGCCGUAAUGGAAAAGACUCUGAAAAAGAAUGUAUACGUAUAACUGAGUCGCUUUGCUGUACAGCAGAAAUUAAUACAACAUUGUAUAUCAACUAUACCUCAGUAACAUUUAAGAAAAGACAGAGUUCUGAAACCAAGCACUUGAGCAAUUUUAAUAGGCCUAUUAAUAGGUAUUGCCAAGAGAAUGUCCUUUUUUGCAUCCAAUGUCUAUGUUUCUGAAAAAUAAUGAUGAGCUUAUAUUUUUCCAUCCUGUAAACCAUCUGUUAAUUUAGGACACAGAGUGAACUAUGUCAUUCUUCUUGGCCUGCCGCUUCAGCAGCUGCAGCUUUGGUGGUGCCAGCAACUCACCAACCUGGCAACAUCAUGGGCAUUUUGGCCAUCAUCAAAAACCACACAAAGCACUAAUGUUGGUCAGGAUAUAGAGAAAAGGGAACCUUUCUACACUGUUGAUGGGAAUAUAAAUCGGUGCAGCCACUGUGGAAAACAGUAUGGAAGUUUCUCAAAAAGCUAAAAAUAAAGCUACCAUAUGACCCGGCCAUUCCACUCCAGGGUACAUAUCCAAAAAAGCAAAAACACUGAUUUGAAAAGGUACAGGUACCCCAAUAUUCACAGCAGCACUAUUUACAAUUUCUAAGAAAUGGAAGCAACCUAAAGUGUCUGCCAACAGAUGAAUGGAUAAAGAAGAUGUGGUAUACAUAUUCAGUGGAAUACUACUCAGUCAUAAAAAAUGAAAUUUUGCUAUUUGCGGAAACAUGGAUGGACUCGGAGGGCAUUGUGCUAAGUGAAAUAAGUCAGACAUAUAACAACAAAUGCUGUGUGAUUAACACAUACGGGGAAUCUAAAAAGUACAACAAACUAGUGAAUAUAAUAAAAUAGAAGCAGACUCAGAGAUAUAGAGAAUAAACUUGUGGUUAGUGGUAGAGAGGGGGAUUACAGGGAUGGGAGGGGGAAGGUACGAAUCACUGGUUGUAGGAUAGGCUCAAGGAUGUAUUGUACAACAUGGGAAACACAGCCAAUAUUUUGUAAUAACUACGAAUGGAAAGUAAUCUUUUAAAGUUGUAUAAAAAAUUAGGAGUUCCCACUGUGGCGCAGUGGAAACAAAUCCGAAUAGGAACCAUGAGGGAUCGAACCUGCAAUCUCAUGGUUCCUAGUCAGAAUCGUUAACCACUGAUCCACGGUGGGAACUCCAUGUAAUUAGAAAUCAUAAAGAAUUUUUGUUCUUACAAAAAUAACAAGCACCAAAGUUAAAAAACAGGAGUUGCCUGGUGGCUCAUCAGGUUAAGGACUUGGUGUUGCCACUGCUGUUGCGAGUUCAAUCCCAGGCCCGGAAACUUCUGCAUGCCAUGGGCACAGCCAAAAAAUAAAAAUAAAAACAUAAAGUUAAAAAAGUUAAAAAACAAAACAAAGAAAACCCUAACUAAUUGAGUCUCUCCCCCACCAAAUGUACAGUUAGACUCAAGUCUGGGUUUUUUGGAAAGGAAAUUCAUUGGUAAAUGGCCGGUAAUGAUAGUUCCUUUUUCUCUGCAGAAUCAAACAAUAACAAAUGGUUAAAUGUCACCUGCACAAGGGGGG
rnacentral:lncRNA from 1 species